UACGAGUACCCCAAGCGUUAUCCGGAAUUACUGGGCGUAAAGAGUACGUAGGCUGUUUUUUAAGUCUAUGGUUAAAUCCGAGAGCUUAACUUUCGGGCUGCUAUAGAUACUGAGAGACUAGAGGUAGGGAGAGGUGACUGGAAUUGCUGGUGUAGCGGUAAAAUGCGUUAAUAUCAGCAGGAACACCAAAGGUGUAAGCAUGUCACUAGAACUAUCCUGACGCUGUUGUACGAAAGCGUGGGGAGCAAAAGGG
rnacentral:rRNA from 1 species